UAUCUCUGUAGAGUCUGCAUAUCAAUAAGCGGAGGAAAAGAAACUAACUAGGAUUCCCUUAGUAACGGCGAGUGAAGCGGGAAGAGCUCAAAUUUGAAAUCUUCAAGGUUCUACCUUGACGAAUUGUAGUUUAAAGAGGUGUUUUCUGUUGGAGUUUUGGUAAAAGUUCUUUGGAAUAGGACAUCAUAGGAGGGUGAGAAUCCCGUAUUUGACCAGUUACUUUCCAGCUGUGUGAUACACUUUCAAAGAGUCGGAUUGUUUGGGAAUGCAGUCCAAAAUGGGUGGUAAAUUUCAUCUAAAGCUAAAUAUUGGCGAGAGACCGAUAGCGAACAAGUACCGUGAGGGAAAGAUGAAAAGAACUUUGAAAAGAGAGUUAAACAGUACGUGAAAUUGUCAAAAGGGAAGCGUUUGACACCAGUGUUGUUUCGUCGAAAAUCAAUUAAAAAUAACUUUGAUUUUGUGUUGUAUUGACCUUAAAAGCUUUCUUCACUUUUUCUUGUUAUUUUUAAUGCACUUUUCGUUUAACAAGUCAACAUCAGUUUCUUUUGUUGUAAAAAGGUCAUUGGAAGGUGGCUUUCUUUUCGGAGAAAGUGUUUAUAGCCUUUGACUCCUGCAAUCGGAGAGACUGAGGUCUGCAGCGUAGAUCCUUUUUUGGAUUAGAUUCAUUUGUGCUAAGUUAUAGCUUUUUAUAGACAACAUGUUGACUAUAUUUAGUCUUGUAGCUUACUCGCUUAUGUAAUUUUACCUACGCUUAGGAUGUUGAACGCGCACAGAGUCUC
rnacentral:rRNA from 1 species